AGUCGAACGAACUCUGGUAUUGAUUGGUGCUUGCAUCAUGAUUUACAUUUGAGUGAGUGGCGAACUGGUGAGUAACACGUGGGAAACCUGCCCAGAAGCGGGGGAUAACACCUGGAAACAGAUGCUAAUACCGCAUAACAACUUGGACCGCAUGGUCCGAGCUUGAAAGAUGGCUUCGGCUAUCACUUUUGGAUGGUCCCGCGGCGUAUUAGCUAGAUGGUGGGGUAACGGCUCACCAUGGCAAUGAUACGUAGCCGACCUGAGAGGGUAAUCGGCCACAUUGGGACUGAGACACGGCCCAAACUCCUACGGGAGGCAGCAGUAGGGAAUCUUCCACAAUGGACGAAAGUCUGAUGGAGCAACGCCGCGUGAGUGAAGAAGGGUUUCGGCUCGUAAAACUCUGUUGUUAAAGAAGAACAUAUCUGAGAGUAACUGUUCAGGUAUUGACGGUAUUUAACCAGAAAGCCACGGCUAACUACGUGCCAGCAGCCGCGGUAAUACGUAGGUGGCAAGCGUUGUCCGGAUUUAUUGGGCGUAAAGCGAGCGCAGGCGGUUUUUUAAGUCUGAUGUGAAAGCCUUCGGCUCAACCGAAGAAGUGCAUCGGAAACUGGGAAACUUGAGUGCAGAAGAGGACAGUGGAACUCCAUGUGUAGCGGUGAAAUGCGUAGAUAUAUGGAAGAACACCAGUGGCGAAGGCGGCUGUCUGGUCUGUAACUGACGCUGAGGCUCGAAAGUAUGGGUAGCAAACAGGAUUAGAUACCCUGGUAGUCCAUACCGUAAACGAUGAAUGCUAAGUGUUGGAGGGUUUCCGCCCUUCAGUGCUGCAGCUAACGCAUUAAGCAUUCCGCCUGGGGAGUACGGCCGCAAGGCUGAAACUCAAAGGAAUUGACGGGGGCCCGCACAAGCGGUGGAGCAUGUGGUU
rnacentral:rRNA from 1 species